AUGAUGAUGGCACGAGGUAAGUAAUGUCUUCAUGAAAGUAUGUUAGUUUUUCUUUUGUUUUAUUGUUUGUUGUUCAAGUUUAUCGUCUAAUGACGUCACUUUGUCCACUAUGUUUUUGUAUGAUUUUAUCAGCUGUAAUGAUUGGACUCCACAAAUGGGUAUGGAAUUUAAUGAUGUAGAUGAGGCAAGAGAGUUUUGGAAGACGUAUGCAUUAAAAAUUGGUUUUGGUGUACGUAGGAGAGUUACUAACAAAGAGAAGGAUGGUUCCAUAACUUCUACACGCUUUUGUUGUGCAAAAGAGGGACAUCGACAAAAAGAUAAACGGAUGGAAUUAGUAAAAAAGCCUAGGCCCGAAACGAGGAUGGACUGCCAUGCAUGAAUGGGAAUCAAAUUAGUUCGAGAGAGCGGUAAAUAUUUUGUGUAUGAUUUUGAGCCAAUGCAUUCCCAUCCACUCCACUUUGCAGAGUGUACUCACUUGAUACGGUCACAUAGGCAAAUAAGCGACAUCCAAGCUCAGCAAAUUGUGUUGGGCGACAAUGCGGGCCUCACACAGAGAAAGUAGCAUGACUUGUCUAGUGUACGAUCCGGGAGAAGAGAAAAUGUUGGUUACACGAGGAUUGAUGUGAAAAACUAUCUUCGCACUAAACAUGGGAGAGACAUGGAGUUUGGAGACGCAGGAUGUUUAUUGAAAGAUGGACACAUGAGGCAAGAGAUGGAAUACUCGAGAAGCAUGGUUUAGAUGCUCGGGGGAAUGGUGACAUGGAUGUUACCGAUAGAUAUAGAGAGGUGUGUCCCGAGUUUGUGAAGAUAGCGGUUAAGGGCUCACAAACUAUUCGGAGAUAUGAAUUUAUCAAGAAGAUGAUCUUGACCAUAAACAAAUCUCUCGAUGAAAUGCCACUUGGAGGUGAGUUUCGGAGAAAUUUGACAGGCUUAAGUGAAGAUACGAGUCUCAUUGCAAAAUGUACGGGCCUCAACAAGAAAGAUGGACGCAAAGGAGGAAAGCGACAUAAGAGCUGUUUAGAGAAGAAUAAAAGAAAAUGAAAGAAGCAAGGAGAUGCACCUCAAGCUUCUUCGCAAGCUUCUUGGGCACCUCAAGUUCUUGGAAAUUACAAUAACUCUCCGGGUUUUUGUAGUAAUCUACUCGAGACGUUUGAGGCACCACGAGACUUCAAUAUGCCUUCCAUGAUAACAUCGCUUGUUGACGGGUAAUGCACUAUUCUAUUUGCACUAAGUUAUGUUCAUCUUAUUAUGUUCAUUUUAUCAUGCAUGCUAAUUUCUAAUUUUUUUUCAUAUUUACUAACACUCGGGACAUUUCAUUGUGGAUGUUUAAGCUUAUGAGCCUAGCUAUGUAGCUCCACCAGGUCCCCCCGAACUUAGAAGAUACAACUCCACCUCAAGUUCAUCUAUUUCAAAAAGAUGCUACGAUUUCGGGUUAUGAAAUUUGGAAAUGCGAAUCAAAUAAAUUUUAUUGCUUCGGAGGUUCGUGGAUCAUUUGCUGCAACUUUGGUUGAAGCACAGAUUGAGCUUUUCAACUCUUUG